rnacentral:misc_RNA from 1 species
GAGGAUGGGGGAACUGUGGGCGUCUUCUCUCCAAAGAAGACUCCCCACCUGGUGAACCUGAACGAAGACCCUCUGAUGUCUGAGUGUCUGCUCUACCACAUCAAAGAUGGCGUCACCAGGGUCGGCCAGGUCGAUGUGGACAUCAAGCUGACGGGGCAGUUCAUCCGGGAGCAACAUUGCCUGUUCCGGAGCAUCCCUCAGUCAGAC